CGGCGGCACGAGAGAGCUUGCUCUCUUGGUGGCGAGUGGCGGACGGGUGAGUAAUAUAUCGGAACGUGCCCAGUAGCGGGGGAUAACUACUCGAAAGAGUGGCUAAUACCGCAUACGCCCUACGGGGGAAAGGGGGGGAUCGCAAGACCUCUCACUAUUGGAGCGGCCGAUAUCGGAUUAGCUAGUUGGUGGGGUAAAGGCUCACCAAGGCAACGAUCCGUAGCUGGUUUGAGAGGACGACCAGCCACACUGGGACUGAGACACGGCCCAGACUCCUACGGGAGGCAGCAGUGGGGAAUUUUGGACAAUGGGGGAAACCCUGAUCCAGCCAUCCCGCGUGUAUGAUGAAGGCCUUCGGGUUGUAAAGUACUUUUGGCAGAGAAGAAAAGGCAUCCCCUAAUACGGGAUGCUGCUGACGGUAUCUGCAGAAUAAGCACCGGCUAACUACGUGCCAGCAGCCGCGGUAAUACGUAGGGUGCAAGCGUUAAUCGGAAUUACUGGGCGUAAAGCGUG
rnacentral:rRNA from 1 species